rnacentral:antisense_RNA from 1 species
UCUAGGACUCAGAAAUAUAGAUGUUAGUAAGAGCAAACAGACAUAACAGAUAACACAUACGAAGUGCCUACCACAUGCUAACCACUGCUGCAGGCACUUUCUAUAGAAGAACUAAUUUAAUCAUCACCAUAACCCUAUGGGGUAGAUGAUAUUUUUACAACCUCCAUUUUACAGAUGAAGAAACUGAAGCAUAGACCUGCUUAUGUGAGAAGAAACGCAGAGAGACAGGUCAGUCACUGCAGUCUUCAUGCCCAUCAGUUUCUUGUGAGAAGAAAACCAGAAAACAAGGACUGAAAUCCACACAGGAAAGUGGCAGUGAACUCCACAGAUGGACCUGGACCCCUCAACACUCCUGGCCUCACCUCCCUUGCUGAACGUCUCAAGUUUCUCUGCAUUCAGGACUGGCAAUGCCUGCUUCCUCCUCUGAGCUGUCAAGUAGGAAGGCCGGGCUACUCUGCUUGAAAGAGAAGUCAUGUGUAGGAGCACUGAGGCAUCCCAGGUGUGACACUCUUCCACCUAGAACAUUCCAUCUCUCAUCCUCUGCCAUGUGAGGCUGGGCUUCUUUAACAAAUCAAUCCCAAAUGCAAAAGACAUUUAUUUCUUCUGUACCUAAUGACCUGAGCAAUCCUUCUCUGCUGAACUUGGUAGUGUCAUCUUUAGAAGUGAAGGUGUCAUCUUUAGAAGUGAAGACACAAUUAGCACAUGAUCAUUUAUUCAUUGUAUCAUUGUUAAU